rnacentral:rRNA from 1 species
UACGGAGGGAGCAAGCGUUACUCGGAAUUAUUGGGCGUAAAGGGCGCGUAGGCGAUUUAACAAGUCUUGUGUGAAAGCCCCGGGCUUAACUCGGGAAGUGCACAAGAAACUGUUGAAUUUGAGUUCCGGAGAGGAAGGCAGAAUUCCCGGUGUAGCGGUGAAAUGCGUAGAUAUCGGGAGGAAUACCAGUGGCGAAGGCGGCCUUCUGGACGGAUACGUGACGCUGAGGCGCGAAAGCCAGGGGAG